UUUGAUCCUGGCUCAGGACGAACGCUGGCGGCGUGCUUAACACAUGCAAGUCGAACGGUAAGGCCCUUUCGGGGGUACACGAGUGGCGAACGGGUGAGUAACACGUGAGUAACCUGCCCUUGACUCUGGGAUAACAUCUGGAAACAGUUGCUAAUACUGGAUAUGAGCUGCCCUGGCAUCGGGGUGGUUGGAAAGUUUUUCGGUCAAGGAUGGACUCGCGGCCUAUCAGCUUGUUGGUGAGGUAGUGGCUCACCAAGGCUUCGACGGGUAGCCGGCCUGAGAGGGCGACCGGCCACAUUGGGACUGAGAUACGGCCCAAACUCCUACGGGAGGCAGCAGUGGGGAAUAUUGCACAAUGGGCGGAAGCCUGAUGCAGCAACGCCGCGUGCGGGAUGACGGCCUUCGGGUUGUAAACCGCUUUCAUCCAUGACGAAGCUUUUGUGACGGUAGUGGAAGAAGAAGCACCGGCUAACUACGUGCCAGCAGCCGCGGUGAUACGUAGGGUGCGAGCGUUGUCCGGAUUUAUUGGGCGUAAAGAGCUUGUAGGCGGUUUGUUGCGUCGGGAGUGAAAACUCAGGGCUUAACCCUGAGCCUGCUUCCGAUACGGGCAGACUUGAGGAAGGUAGGGGAGAUUGGAAUUCCUGGUGAAGCGGUGGAAUGCGUAGAUAUCAGGAGGAACACCAGUGGCGAAGGCGGAUCUCUGGACCUUUCCUGACGCUGAGAAGCGAAAGCGUGGGGAGCAAACAGGCUUAGAUACCCUGGUAGUCCACGCCCUAAACGAUGUCAACUAGGUGUUGGGAGGGUAAAACCUUUUAGUACCGUAGCUAACGCGAGAAGUUGACCGCCUGGGGAGUACGGCCGCAAGGUUAAAACUCAAAGGAAUUGACGG
rnacentral:rRNA from 1 species